UGGGAACCUUCCUAGGGGUACGGAACAACUCAGGGAAACUUGAGCUAAUACCGUAUACGUCCGUGAGGAGAAAGUUUUAACGCCCCUAGACGGGCCCGCGUAGGAUUAGGUAGUUGGUGAGAUAACGGCUCACCAAGCCUACGAUCCUUAGCUGAUCUGAGAGGAUGAUCAGCCACACUGGGACUGAGACACGGCCCAGACUCCUACGGGAGGCAG
rnacentral:rRNA from 1 species